rnacentral:lncRNA from 1 species
CAAACAGAUAAAGAAAGACAAACAGAUAAAGAAAGAAAAAACAGAGACAGACAGAUAAAGAAAGAAAAAACAGACAAACAAACAGAUAAAGAGAGAAAAAACAAACAGACAAACAGAUAAAGAAAGAAAAAACAGACAGACAAACAGAUAAAGAAAGAAAAAACAGACAGACAAACAGAUAAAGAAAGAAAAAACAGAGACAGACAGAUAAAGAAAGAAAAAACAGACAGACAAACAGAUAAAGAAAGAAAAAACAGACAGACAAACAGAUAAAGAAAGAAAAAAAACAGACAGACAAACAGAUAAAGAGAGAAAAAAAACAGACAACGAAAGAGAUAAAGAAAGAAAAAACAGACAGAUAAAGAGAGAAAAAACAGACAGACAAACAGAUAAAGAAAGAAAAAACAGACAGACAAACAGAUAAAGAGAAAAAAAACCAGACAGACAAACAGAUAAAGAAAGAAAAAACAGACAGACAAACAGAUAAAGAAAGAAAAACAGACACACAAACAGAUAAAGAAAGAAAAAACAGACAGACAAACAGAUAAAGAAAGAAAAAACAGACAGAUAAAGAGAGAAAAAACAGACAGACAAACAAACAGAUAAAGAAAGAAAAAACAGACAGACAAACAGAUAAAGAGAAAAAAACCCAGACAGACAAACAAAUAAAGAAAGAAAAAAGAGACAGACAAACAGAUAAAGAAAGAAAAAACAGACAGACAAACAGAUAAAGAAAGAAAAAAGAGACAGACAAACAGAUAAAGAAAGAAAAAACAGACAGACAAACAGAUAAAGAGAAAAAAACCCAGACAGACAAACAAAUAAAGAAAGAAAAAAGAGACAGACAAACAGAUAAAGAGAGAAAAAACAGACAGACAAAGAGAGAAAAAACAGACAGACAAACAGAUAAAGAAAGAAAAAACAGACAGACAAACAGAUAAAGAAAAAAAAAACGGAGACAGACAGAUAAAGAGAGAAAAAACAGACAGACAAACAGAUAAAGAAAGAAAAAACAGACAGACAAACAGAUAAAGAGAAAAAAAAACAGACAGACAAACAA